rnacentral:rRNA from 1 species
UACACUCCUGCGGGAGGCAGCAGUGGGGAAUAUUGGACAAUGGGCGAAAGCCUGAUCCAGCAAUGCCGCGUGAGUGAUGAAGGCCUUAGGGUUGUAAAGCUCUUUUACCCGGGAUGAUAAUGACAGUACCGGGAGAAUAAGCCCCGGCUAACUCCGUGCCAGCAGCCGCGGUAAUACGGAGGGGGCUAGCGUUGUUCGGAAUUACUGGGCGUAAAGCGCGCGUAGGCGGCUUUGUAAGUUAGAGGUGAAAGCCCGGAGCUCAACUUCGGAAUUGCCUUUAAGACUGCAUCGCUAGAAUCGUGGAGAGGUGAGUGGAAUUCCGAGUGUAGAGGUGAAAUUCGUAGAUAUUCGGAAGAACACCAGUGGCGAAGGCGACUCACUGGACACGUAUUGACGCUGAGGUGCGAAAGCGUGGGGAGCAAACAGGAUUAGAUACCCGGGUAGUCCCAUG